GACGAACGCUGGCGGCGUGCUUAACACAUGCAAGUCGAACGAAGAGCGGUGGAAGCUUGCUUCUAUCAAUCUUAGUGGCGAACGGGUGAGUAACGCGUAAUCAACCUGCCCUUCAGAGGGGGACAACAGUUGGAAACGACUGCUAAUACCGCAUACGAUCUAACCUCGGCAUCGAGGAAAGAUGAAAGGUGGCCUCUAUUUAUAAGCUAUCACUGAAGGAGGGGAUUGCGUCUGAUUAGCUAGUUGGAGGGGUAACGGCCCACCAAGGCGAUGAUCAGUAGCCGGUCUGAGAGGAUGAACGGCCACAUUGGGACUGAGACACGGCCCAGACUCCUACGGGAGGCAGCAGUGGGGAAUCUUCCGCAAUGGACGAAAGUCUGACGGAGCAACGCCGCGUGAGUGAUGACGGCCUUCGGGUUGUAAAGCUCUGUUAAUCGGGACGAAAGGCCUUCUUGCGAAUAGUGAGAAGGAUUGACGGUACCGGAAUAGAAAGCCACGGCUAA
rnacentral:rRNA from 1 species